rnacentral:rRNA from 1 species
UACAGAGGUCUCGAGCGUUAGGCGGAAUCAUUGGGCGUAAAGCGCGUGUAGGCGGUCCGGUAAGUCCGCUGUGAAAGUCGGGGGCUCAACCCUCGAAUGCCGGUGGAUACUGUCGGGCUAGAGUGCGGAAGAGGCGAGUGGAAUUCCUGGUGUAGCGGUGAAAUGCGCAGAUAUCAGGAGGAACACCAAUUGCGAAGGCAGCUCGCUGGGACGUAACUGACGCUGAGACGCGAAAGCGUGGGGAGCAAACAGG